UAAGUACAUGAUUCCAUGCUUCCAAGAAAAGCAUCUAGAGAGAGAAGUAGUGCCCGUACCGCAAACCGACACAGGUAGAUGAGGAGAGAAUCCUAAGGCCGGCGGAAGAAUUGCAGUUAAGGAACUAGGCAAAUUGACCCCGUAAGUUAGCGAGAAGGGGUGCCUGCGAGAGCAGGCCGCAGAGAAUAGGCCCAAGCAACUGUUUAGCAAAAACACAGGUCUCUGCUAAAGCGCAAGCUGAUGUAUAGGGGCUGACGCCUGCCCGGUGCUGGAAGGUUAAGGGGAACACUUAGCGCAAGCGAAGGUGUGAACUUAAGCCCCAGUAAACGGCGGCCGUAACAAUAACGGUCCUAAGGUAGCGAAAUUCCUUGUCAGGUAAGUUCUGACCCGCACGAAUGGCGUAAUGACUUGGGCACUGUCUCAACUGCAAAUCCGGCGAAGUUGUAGUGCGAGUGAAGAUGCUCGCUACCCGCGAUUGGACGGAAAGACCCCGUAGAGCUUUACUGUAGCUUAGCAUUGAAUUCCGGUAUUGUCUGUACAGGAUAGGUGGGAGACUGGGAAACUAGGGCGUCAGCCUUGGUGGAGUCGUCCUUGGGAUACCACCCUGACAGUACUGGGGUUCUAACAGGACACCAUGAAUCUGGUGACUGGACAUUGUUAGGUGGGCAGUUUGACUGGGGCGGUCGCCUCCUAAAAAGUAACGGAGGCGCCCAAAGGUUCCCUCAGAACGGUCGGAAAUCGUUCGUAGAGUGCAAAGGCAGAAGGGAGCCUGACUGCGAGACCUACAAGUCGAGCAGGGACGAAAGUCGGGCUUAGUGAUCCGGUGGUACCUCGUGGGAGGGCCAUCGCUCAACGGAUAAAAGCUACCUCGGGGAUAACAGGCUGAUCUCCCCCAAGAGUCCACAUCGACGGGGAGGUUUGGCACCUCGAUGUCGGCUCGUCGCAUCCUGGGGCUGUAGUAGGUCCCAAGGGUUGGGCUGUUCGCCCAUUAAAGCGGCACGCGAGCUGGGUUCAGAACGUCGUGAGACAGUUCGGUCCCUAUCCGUCGCGGGCGUAGGAAAUUUGAGAGGAGCUGUCCUUAGUACGAGAGGACCGGGAUGGACUGACCUCUGGUGCACCAGUUGUUCUGCCAAGAGCAUGGCUGGGUAGCUAAGUCGGGAAGGGAUAAACGCUGAAAGCAUCUAAGCGUGAAGCCUCCCUCAAGAUGAGAUUUCCCAUAGCAUAAGCUAGUAAGACCCCUUGAAGAACACGAGGUUGAUAGGUCAGAGGUGUAAGUGUGGUAACAUAUUUAGCUGACUGAUACUAAUAGGUCGAGGGCUUGACC
rnacentral:rRNA from 1 species